AUACUUAUCUGUCAGGGAAGAAAACAUGAUCGUGAAGGUGGUUUUCCCAGGGUGAGGUUUAUUCAUCGCACUCUGGAUGUGCAGACCCCUGAAAUUUCCCCAAAAGUGGGAAAUUUGAUGGCAUAAUUUGUGACCAUAUCGUGUUUGUGUUCUUCCCGGUUACAAA
ensembl:snRNA U1 U1 spliceosomal RNA